UUGUUCUGUCCUACCUUUAUCUUCACGCGUAUUUUCCACAAAAGACGGGGCAAACACCUGUAAUCAGCAAGCGAUAGCAGUUGGAGCCUUGCUCGGCGGCGCGGCACACGCCACCGUAAAAGUGCACAUCUCUACAUCUCUUCUGGAACGCUGCCAGUCUGCCACGGGUGAACAAGGCUCGCUCAACAAGGCAAUAUGGCUACACUUCGUCAACUCAUAUUCAUUGCUGUUAUGGUGGUGUGUCUUCUGGCCCUGGUUAUGGCAGCUCCAGCCAAGAAAUGUCCCAGCUACUGCAAGAAGGAAUGCCUGAACCCAGUACUUUGCCCACCACAGUGUGAGGAGUGCAUGAUAAACUUGUUGGUCUGAAGUGUUCCUCUGGUGCUGCCCUCUGGCCACGGCGUGUGCGACCACAUCGGCACUGUCUCCUUGUUCUUCGUCGUCGUCGAAGCUGCUGUCCCGCCCCGGGUUCCUCAGAAGCACCGCCGGAGAAGGGCAGACCAUGACGGAGGCGUUCAACACGUGGCACGACUGCGGUGUAUAGGAGAGGCGGUUAAAUCAAAGCAUGCAUAUACAGUCGUGCAUAGUUGAGGCAGCUGGUUACUCAUGCGUUGUAAUUAAACAAGUUAUUCUGCACAAAGUGUGCACCAAAUGUACACGGAAUGGAGUUUCGGGUCCCUCAAUUCAACUGCGCAGG
rnacentral:lncRNA from 1 species